GUAUAAUAGUAUAAUACUAAGUCUUGACUAGAAAACAUAUUAUUUCAUUCUCAUAUUUAACGGUGUGAAAUAUUAUUCAGUUAUUGUACAGCAGAUUUGUACCAAUAAAAAUGGGUAAAAGUAUUUAUUAUGUAAUAGCUAUAUUUUUUAUAUUAAAUGUUCUUGGUUGUGAAUACUCUGAUGAUGAAGAUUUGGAAUAUUUGGAGGAUAGAGAAAUUGAGUAAGUAUAAUUU